GAGUGGCGAACGGGCGAGGAAUGCGUUUCUAACGUGCCCCAAGGUCGAGGAUAGCUCGGGGAAACCCGGGGUAAUACUCGAUGACCCCCAUGGAUCGCAUGGUUCGUGGGGCAAAGGCUUGCUGCCUUGGGAUCGGGAAACGCCCUAUCAGGUUGUUGGUGAGGUAACGGCUCACCAAGCCUAAGACGGGUAGCGGGUGUGAGAGCAUGACCCGCCGCAUCGGGACUGAGACACUGCCCGGACUCCUACGGGAGGCUGCAGCAACGGAUAUUGGGCAAUGAGCGAAAGCUUGACCCAGCAAUGCCGCGUGCAGGAGGAAGCCCCUCGGGGUGUAAACUGCUGUCAGGGUUUAGGAAGUUCUGACCAAACCCAAAGGAAGGGCCGGCUAACUUCGUGCCAGCAGCCGCGGUAAUACGAAGGGCGCAAGCGUUAAUCGGAAUCACUGGGCUUAAAGGGUGCGCAGGCGGAAUGGUCAGUGUCUUGUGAAAUCCCACGGCUCAACCGUGCAACUGCAUGGCAUACUGCCAUUCUUGAGGCCUGUAGAGGCCGCCCGAAACUCUAGGUGUAGCCGUGAAAUGCGUAGAUAUCUAGAGGAACGCCCAAAGACGAAGGUAGGCGGCUGGGCCGGGUUCUGACGCUCAGGCACGAAAAGCGUGGGGAGCAAACAGGAUUAGAUACCCUGGUAGUCCACGCCGUAAACGUUGUGCACUAGGUGCUGGAGGUUCUGACACCAUCAGCGCCGAAGCGAAAGUGAUUAGUGCACCGCCUGGGGAGUACGGUCGCAAGGCUAAAACUCAAAGGAAUUGACGGGGGCUCACACAAGCGGUGGAGCAUGUGGCUUAAUUCGAGGCAACGCGAAGAACCUUAUCCUGGGCUUGACAUGCAUGGAUUAACGCUGGGAAACCAGCGCCACACUCUUUGAGUGGAACAUGCACAGGUGCUGCAUGGCUGUCGUCAGCUCGUGCUGUGAAGUGUUGGGUUAAGUCCCUUAACGAGCGAAACCCCUGUCGCUAGUUACCAUCAGGUAAUGCCGGGGACUCUAGCGAGACUGCCGGUGUCAAACCGGAGGAAGGCGGGGAUGACGUCAAGUCCUCAUGGCCUUUAUGCCCAGGGCUGCACACGUGCUACAAUGGCGCCGACAGAGCGAAGCAAAACCGCGAGGUAGAGCAAAUCGCAAAAAAGGUGCCCCAGUUCGGAUUGCAGUCUGCAACUCGACUGCAUGAAGCCGGAAUCGCUAGUAAUCGCGUAUCAGCAACGACGCGGUGAAUACGUUCCUGAGCCUUGUACACACCGCCCGUCAAGUCAUGGAAGCCGGGAGUACCCGAAG
rnacentral:rRNA from 1 species